AAAAUAAAUGUUGUUAUCAGAAGUCACAAAGGAGAAUACCGGUGGCAAAGCUAAAGGGUCUCUGUUUACACAUUAACUUCCUUGCCCUCUCUUUGGAUAGAACACUGGACAACAUGUAUUUCAGACAUGAAAGGAGAUGAGUGAUGUUUUAUUACUUUUCUCAUGUGGAUAGCUUAGCAGAGCUUUCAACUGUUCCUUGCCAUAACGUGCUUUUGCAAGUUAUUUUCUGCUGUGGAUCUUUGGAUGCGGCACCAGCCCACAAAGAGCUGUGACUUGAAUUCCAAUGAAGACCAAGCUUAGGAAAAGUAAAGUUUUUUUCUUCGUCAAGUCCAUAAUCACACUGAAAAUGUUUAAAUAAGGUCAGUGACUUACAAAGUACAAAGCUGGUCAAUUGAACAGCCAACAUUUUUUUACUCGGUGACACAGAAAAAGUGACUGAUGGAUGAUUCUAACAAGCCUAAGACUUUAAGCCCUCAGCGCAAGAGUUUACAUCAGGUCCUUCACAGAAGGAAAAGCCAUUUAAUCCUUGAAAACUGUUAAAAACUUCCCAGAAGACAGAAAAAAUACAACCUUAUACAGUGCAUGUAGCUAAACUACACAGAAGAUUUUGAACGAAUGAUGGUGUUAGAUCAACAGAACACAUUCUACAGGUCGGAUGUUGUCAACUGAGGUUAAAAUAUAAUGGAGCUGAUAGAAAUAUCUGAUUUGUAAACUACAUGGAAGAUUUGCAUCCAACAUAUCCACCUGUGCAAAGGGAACACGGCAUGUUGCGUCUGCAUCCGACAAGACAGAAUCUAAUGGUAUCUGACAGACUUUUUUCUCUCAGUGAAAUACAUUGACCGUUGGAUGGAGCGGCAUGAACAAAACACACCAUCCAACUUUAUUUGAUCCAACUUGCAUUACAGAAAUGGGGAUCAUAUUUUGUAGCAUGACAAGAUUAGCUUUUAAAGUGCACUGCGGUGAAAAAAACAACAUGUGCCAGACAGAAACAUAGGCUCAGUGUGAGCUUGAAUUAUAAUACAUUUAGUAACUAACUGGAUUGUCAUGUGCUUGAUUUAUUAAUAAUGGCUGGUGACCUUACUUGCAAUGUUAAAAGGCAAUAAUGAUUAGGCAAUAGGGGGAUUUAGGGUUGUGGCUAAAGGCAAGGCCGACAGCAAGCUAACAAUGACAAACAAACCAACAUUUAUCACACCUUAUGGCGAGUAUUACUGGAAAAACCUACCUGUUUAAUUUUAUAAUAAUUUCUUAGACUGCAAUAAUAUAAAUUUUGUUUUUUACUGUUUCAUUAUUGCAUUUACUGGUUGCAAAACAGUAAAGCCAGAUAUGUUCACCUUAUCUAUUCCCCUAACCAAAUGCAGAUCAAGGAUGAUCCUUUUAAAUCCCAGGGCUUCCGACGUAGUUUCAAAACAUAGGGGGCAGGUCUACAUUUUUAUAUACCAGAAACAAUGGUUACUGCAGGGAAAAAGGUUUCAAAUUUACGAAUAUUUACUUUGUUUUUUCCAAUGACUGUAUGAUUAAGUUCCCAGAUAGAAUUCUGCACAGCUUUGCAAAAGUUCUGCAAUGGGAAAUAAUUGAAUUUAACUGCUUAAAGCUGAAGGGCACUUUCUGAAGAAAUACCUAUUUUGGAAAAGUGGGGAAAUGCUUUGAUAAAUGAUCACUUAUCAUUAACAAAAUUCCAGAAUGUCAGGAAAAGGUUAGUCAAUGUGAUAAAAUUUGAACUGCAGGGAAAUGCCAGGAAAUUGCCAUUAAUCCCAAUUUAAACUUUAAUAAAUCCCCCCUCUACUGUCAUAAGCCUUAUGACAAUGGAGGACUCCUGCCCCACUGUUUAUCUUGUCCCUGUAUCAUUGCUUGGCACUCAUAUAUGCCCUUCAGUUUCCUAGAACACAUUUACCAUGAGCAAGUGAAUGAUGUAUAAUCUCCGUGAAGCGCUGCAGAAAUGUGUCAGUGCUAUAUAAAUACCAGGAUAUAAAUAAAUAAGUCACCAUAUAACUGAGAGUCCAGAUAGAGAGACAACAUGUUAUGACAGAAGGAGAGGUAAGCAGGAGAACAAAAACAAAGGAUUUUCCAUUUUACAAUGUUGUCAGAGACAUCAAAAUAAUUUUAUUAUUAUAUUAUAUAAGGCUGGGCUGCCAUUUACUUAUCAUAUAGAAUACAAAUUUAUGCAAACAAUGAUUAUGUCCUUUGUGCCUCGGAGAGAAAGUUGCUCAUUGUGACCAAGAUUUAUGACACUGCACUCAUGUAUUUGAAUCGUUCAGAUUAACCCCUAUAUGUAGUAAAAGACACUAAGGAGCAGAUUUAUCAAAAUGUGAGUUUAGAGCUUAAUACAUAACAACUCACCCACAUUCU